GUGGGGAAUAUUGGACAAUGGGGGGAACCCUGAUCCAGCCAUGCCGCGUGUGUGAAGAAGGCCUUUUGGUUGUAAAGCACUUUAAGCGAGGAGGAGGCUACCGAGAUUAAUACUCUUGGAUAGUGGACGUUACUCGCAGAAUAAGCACCGGCUAACUCUGUGCCAGCAGCCGCGGUAAUACAGAGGGUGCAAGCGUUAAUCGGAUUUACUGGGCGUAAAGCGCGCGUAGGUGGCCAAUUAAGUCAACUGUGAAGUCACCGAGCUUAAGUUGGGAAUUGCAUUCGAUACUGGUUGGCUAGAGUAUGGGAGAGGAUGGUAGAAUUCCAGGUGUAGCGGUGAAAUGCGUAGAGAUCUGGAGGAAUACCGAUGGCGAAGGCAGCCAUCUGGCCUAAUACUGACACUGAGGUGCGAAAGCAUGGGGAGCAAACAGGAUUAGAUACCCGGGUAGUCC
rnacentral:rRNA from 1 species